CCUACGGGUGGCAGCAGUGAGGAAUAUUGGACAAUGGACGAAAGUCUGAAGCAGCCAAGCAGCGUGAAGGAUGAAUGCCCUAGGGGUUGUAAACUUCUUUUAUAAGGGAAUAAAACGAGGCACGUGUGCCUUUUUGCAUUUACUUUAUGAAUAAGGAUCGGCUAACUCAGUGCCAGCAGCCGAGGUACUACGGAGGAUCCGAGCGUUAUCCGGAUUUAUUGGGUUUAAAGGGAGCGUAGAUGGGUUGUUAAGUCAGUUGUGAAAGUCUGUGGCUCAACCGGAAAAUUGCAAUUGAUACUGGCAGUCUUGAGUACAGGUGAGGUAGGUGGAAUUCGAGGUGUAGCGGUGAAAUGCUUAGAUAUCACGAAGAACCCCGAUUGCGAAGGCAGCUUACUAAACUGUGACUGACAUUGAGGCUCGAAAGUGUGGGUAUCAAACAGGAUUAGAUACCCCUGUAGUC
rnacentral:rRNA from 1 species